rnacentral:rRNA from 1 species
ACGCUGGCGGCAGGCCUAACACAUGCAAGUCGAGCGGAAACGACUUAACUGAACCUUCGGGGAACGUUAAGGGCGUCGAGCGGCGGACGGGUGAGUAAUGCCUGGGAAUAUGCCUUAGUGUGGGGGAUAACUAUUGGAAACGAUAGCUAAUACCGCAUAAUGUCUUCGGACCAAAGAGGGGGACCUUCGGGCCUCUCGCGCUAAGAUUAGCCCAGGUGAGAUUAGCUAGUUGGUGAGGUAAGAGCUCACCAAGGCGACGAUCUCUAGCUGGUCUGAGAGGAUGAUCAGCCACACUGGAACUGAGACACGGUCCAGACUCCUACGGGAGGCAGCAGUGGGGAAUAUUGCACAAUGGGCGAAAGCCUGAUGCAGCCAUGCCGCGUGUAUGAAGAAGGCCUUCGGGUUGUAAAGUACUUUCAGUAGGGAGGAAGGUGYUGUAGUUAAUAGCUGCAGCAUUUGACGUUACCUACAGAAGAAGCACCGGCUAACUCCGUGCCAGCAGCCGCGGUAAUACGGAGGGUGCGAGCGUUAAUCGGAAUUACUGGGCGUAAAGCGCAUGCAGGUGGUUCAUUAAGUCAGAUGUGAAAGCCCGGGGCUCAACCUCGGAACCGCAUUUGAAACUGGUGAACUAGAGUGCUGUAGAGGGGGGUAGAAUUUCAGGUGUAGCGGUGAAAUGCGUAGAGAUCUGAAGGAAUACCAGUGGCGAAGGCGGCCCCCUGGACA